rnacentral:rRNA from 1 species
CAAAUCCCUAAAAACGGUCUCAGUUCGGAUUGAAGGCUGAAAUUCGCCUUCAUGAAGCUGGAAUUGCUAGUAAUGGCAGGUCAGCAUACUGCCGUGAAUACGUUCCCGGGCCUUGUACACACCGCCCGUCACACCAUGGGAGUCGGUAACACCCGAAGUCGGUAGCCUAACCGUAAGGAGGGCGCCGCCGAAGGUGGGAUUGAUGACUGGGGUGAAGUCGUAACAAGGUACC